UGUGCUCCUUCCUUAGGAAUCCUAAAGUCCUGGUUUCAUGCUCUUGCAACCUUCAGCUCUGGCUUAAGGUCCUCAGUGUUGGAUCCCGCUUCAGCCUAAGCAUUCAAACCUCAGAAGAAUCCAAGUUUGGUUCAAUCUCCAGCUGACAGCUCAGUACCAAUUCCUCCAGACAAGCAAACUCUGCUCGUCCUCCACCAACUAAUCACCAAAGACUCACCAGUGCCGCAGCAGCAUCUGUUCAGUCCUCCCAGGCUUCGUAUCAUUCCUCCACACCACCCCCCUCUCAUCAAAGACAUGCCGUGCCUCCAGUUCCGGUUCCAGUUCAAUUCACAUAUCCUGCCAAAUAAACUUGUUAAACUUUU